UCGUUUAUUUGAUAGUACCUUUACUACUUGGAUAACCGUGGUAAUUCUAGAGCUAAUACAUGCUCAAAAUCCCGACUGUUUGGAAGGGAUGUAUUUAUUAGAUAAAAAAUCAAUGCUCUUUGAGCUCUUUGAUGAUUCAUAAUAACUUUUCGAAUCGCAUGGCCUUGNGCUGGCGAUGGUUCAUUCAAAUUUCUGCCCUAUCAACUUUCGAUGGUAGGAUAGUGGCCUACCAUGGUUUCAACGGGUAACGGGGAAUAAGGGUUCGAUUCCGGAGAGGGAGCCUGAGAAACGGCUACCACAUCCAAGGAAGGCAGCAGGCGCGCAAAUUACCCAAUCCCGACACGGGGAGGUAGUGACAAUACAUAACGAUACAGGGCCCUUUCGGGUCUUGUAAUUGGAAUGAGUACAAUGUAAAUACCUUAACGAGGAACAAUUGGAGGGCAAGUCUGGUGCCAGCAGCCGCGGUAAUUCCAGCUCCAAUAGCGUAUAUUAAAGUUGUUGCAGUUAAAAAGCUCGUAGUUGAACUUUGGGCUUGGUUGGCCGGUCCGCCUUUUUGGCGAGUACUGGACCCAACCGAGCCUUUCCUUCUGGCUAACCAUUCGCCCUUGUGGUGUUUGGCGAACCAGGACUUUUACUUUGAAAAAAUUAGAGUGUUCAAAGCAGGCCUUUGCUCGAAUAUAUUAGCAUGGAAUAAUAGAAUAGGACGUUAUGGUUCUAUUUUGUUGGUUUCUAGGACCAUCGUAAUGAUUAAUAGGGACGGUCGGGGGCAUCAGUAUUCAGUUGUCAGAGGUGAAAUUCUUAGAUUUACUGAAGACUAACUACUGCGAAAGCAUUUGCCAAGGACGUUUUCAUUAAUCAAGAACGAAAGUUAGGGGAUCGAAGAUGAUCAGAUACCGUCGUAGUCCUUAACCAAACCACUAAACUAUGCUCGACGAUAGGGAUCGGGGGUGUUGUUCUUUUUUUUUNGCCGACGCACUCGGCACCUUACGAGAAAUCAAAGUCUUUGGGUUCUGGGGGAGUAUGGUCGCAAGGCUUGAAACUUAAAGGAAUUGACGGAAGGGCACCACCAGGAGUGGAGCCUGCGGCUUAAUUUGACUCAACACGGGGAAACUCACCAGGUCCAGACACAAUAAGGAUUGACAGAUUGAGAGCUCUUUCUUGAUUUUGUGGGUGGUGGUGCAUGGCCGUUCUUAGUUGGUGGAGUGAUUUGUCUGCUUAAUUGCGAUAACGAACGAGACCUUAACCUACUAAAUAGUGCUGCUAGCUUUUGCUGGUAUAGUCACUUCUUAGAGGGACUAUCGAUUUCAAGUCGAUGGAAGUUUGAGGCAAUAACAGGUCUGUGAUGCCCUUAGACGUUCUGGGCCGCACGCGCGCUACACUGACGGAGCCAGCGAGUAUUAACCUUGGCCGAGAGGUCNGGGAAAUCUUGUGAAACUCCGUCGUGCUGGGGAUAGAGCAUUGUAAUUAUUGCUCUUCAACGAGGAAUUCCUAGUAAGCGCAAGUCAUCAGCUUGCGUUGAUUACGUCCCUGCCCUUUGUACACACCGCCCGUCGCUACUACCGAUUGAAUGGCUUAGUGAGGCCUCCGGCAUUGGUNUAAA
rnacentral:rRNA from 1 species